AGCUUUGUGCAGUGGCAGUAUCAUAGACAAUGGAGUUUAUCUGAGGUGUGAUUAUUGCUAAUUGAGAAGAAAAUAAAGGCUGACUGCCAUCUAUAAAACAAGUCAUCUGCCCACCUGAUUGAUGAAGUGCCCCCUCCACUGGGAACACUCUGGUGGGCAUUUACAUGGUAUAUGAGCUUCUUAUUGCUGCUGUAAAAGA
rnacentral:snRNA from 1 species